UACGGGGGAUGCAAGCGUUAUCCGGAAUCAUUGGGCGUAAAGCGCCUGUAGGUUGUUUAAUAAGUCCGUUGUUAAAGACUAGGGCUCAACCCUAGAGCAGCAAUGGAAACUACUAGACUAGAGUAUGGCAGGGGUAGAGGGAAUUUCUAGUGUAGCGGUGAAAUGCGUAGAUAUUAGAAAGAACACCAGCGGCGAAAGCGCUCUACUGGACCAUUACUGACACUCAGAGGCGAAAGCUAGGGUAGCAAAAGGG
rnacentral:rRNA from 1 species